GACGAACGCUGGCGGCGUGCUUAACACAUGCAAGUCGAACGGAAAGGCCCUGCUUUUGUGGGGUGCUCGAGUGGCGAACGGGUGAGUAACACGUGAGUAACCUGCCCUUGACUUUGGGAUAACUUCAGGAAACUGGGGCUAAUACCGGAUAGGAGCUCCUGCUGCAUGGUGGGGGUUGGAAAGUUUCGGCGGUUGGGGAUGGACUCGCGGCUUAUCAGCUUGUUGGUGGGGUAGUGGCUUACCAAGGCUUUGACGGGUAGCCGGCCUGAGAGGGUGACCGGCGACAUUGGGACUGAGAUACGGACCAGUCUCCUACGGUAGGCAGCAGUGGGGAAUAUUGCACAAUGGGCGGAAGCGUGAUGCAGCAACGCCGGGAGCGGGAUGACGGCCUUCGGGUUGUAAACCGCUUUCGCCUGUGACGAAGCGUGAGUGACGGUAAUGGGUAAAGAAGCACCGGCUAACUACGUG
rnacentral:rRNA from 1 species